GUUGUUAGAAGCCACCGAGUAGGCAAGAGUCCAAGUCUUCGUGUCCACAAACCAUCUGAGGUUUGUGGUGACGCCACUGGAUGUAGCCUUCACUGUUUCCCCUUCCAUAACAUGGGCGCAUCUUUCAUAUUUCCCCGCGGAAGAGACGAUGGUCUUCACCCCGUACGUCAACGUAUCCAGAGGUUCCACCCCUGUCUUUGUCAUGUGGUGCUUUAAUACGAAAAACAGUUGCCCUUCGACCCCAACCACUUCAAUGACAUUGUAGUAGACGUUGUCAAAAAAGACCUUGACACUGUGACCUCUCUGUAGGUAACUAGCCAGUUUUUUAGGUUGCAGUCGGCCAAAUUUAUCCAACGAGAGUGCCAUCCAGCACGUAUCUAAAAUAACAUUUCCGGAUGAACUAUCAUCCUCGAUGUUUUCAAAAGUUCCUUUCCCGAUCGCUAUUUCAACAGCACUUACGGUUUUUCCCCAGACGGUUUUAACGUUGUACCAUGUCUGCGGACUAGUGAAGUGACCUCCAUAGUAGACAGUUUGAUACAGUUCCGAAAUUUGAAAGACAAUGUUCUCAUCAUCGUACAAUGCCGUUGUCGUCUGCUCGAAGUGCUGAAAACCUUCGGACAGCGCUGACCUAAGAAGAACGCAGUUCAGCGGGUCAUAAGAGAUCUGAAGCUGAAAUAUUGGAUCCCUGACAAAGAAAUCAAAUUUUGCAGUGCCUGUAUAUGUAGAGUAACUGCCCUUUGCAAAGUUAAAGCUUACACUCUGAUAGCCACCAUCAGAUCUGAAAUGCAAGAAGCGUCUUUUGGAAGUUGUUGAGUUCCAGUUUGAUUUGUCUAGAGUUGUAUGGGAUUCGAAGGACAACCUUUCAUUUAAAGUGCAGCUACAAUAUGCUGCAGUUAAAACCACUGUAGCGUUGGUAGCGGCGUCUCUGUACCUCAACUUAGAGUGAUGAAGAUCUUGGUUUUCAUAAACUGGCGGGGCGACCGAAGGCGACGAGGUAUAGACGAGCCUCCACUGCCCGUUGCAGCAGCUUGGAUUCUUAUACUCGCAUCUUUCACCUGAGUGGAAAUGAAACUGAUUAUGAUAUGCACUUUAACUCAAUAUAUCUUAUCUUAUAAAAUACAGACGUUACUUCAAAAAAGAGGAUGAUUACGUCCUACGCGUUAUGCAUCUAAUCAUGCAUGUUAACCAAUGACUUAAAUUCUGCCAAGUUCUUGGUUUUCCUGGCUGACUCAGGCAACCCAUUCCGUGGGUUAUCUUAGUAAUGUCACAAAACUUACUUUUCAUUACAAUCAUAACGCGUUUUUUUUUCUCCUUAAGGUGCAAGACAUCUAGUAUUUUUUUUUAAGCUUUAUAUAUCAAAGGAUUAUGUAUUAAGUAUAGCUUUUGUGUAAAUAAAACCUAAAAAGGUAUUUACUAAUUAAGUAGGCCUACGCUCAUUUUCUAUUUUAUAAUCAUUACAGUUAUCCUUAAUCCUAGUGAUUCAUUUAAACCUUUACUAUGGCAUAAUGAGGAUGCUGUCAUUCUGUGCGCAACCAAAGUUCUACACUUUUACCUGUCAGAAGCCGUCUUCAAUAAUGCAUCAAGAAAUAUAUGAAAAAUGUGAUAAUAAAAAUAAAG